rnacentral:rRNA from 1 species
AGUGAACGCUGGCGGCGUGCCUAAUACAUGCAAGUCGAACGCGAAAGUCCUUCGGGAUGAGUAAAGUGGCGCACGGGUGAGUAAUGGUUGAGAACGUGCCCUGAGGUGGGGAAUAACAGUUGGAAACGACUGCUAAUACCGCAUGGUAUCGAAAGAUUAAAGGUGGGGACCGCAAGGCCUACCGCCAACGGAUCGGCCCAACUCCCAUUAGCUAGUUGGCAGGGUAAUGGCCUACCAAGGCAACGAUGGGUAUCUGGUCUUAGAGGAUGAUCAGACACACUGGAACUGAGACACGGUCCAGACUCCUACGGGAGGCAGCAGUAGGGAAUAUUGCACAAUGGAGGAAACUCUGAUGCAGCAACGCCGCGUGAGUGAAGAAGGCCCUUGGGUCGUAAAGCUCUUUAGCCUGGAAAGAAGUGCCCUUAAGUAAACAAUUUGAGGGUGUGACGGUACCAGGAGAAUAAGGUCCGGCUAA